rnacentral:rRNA from 1 species
CCAGCUCCAAUAGCGUAUAUUAAAGUUGUUGUGGUUAAAAAGCUCGUAGUUGGAUCUCGGCGGACAGAAGUCGGUCCGAAUGCUUUCGGUACUGGCUUGUUUGUCCGUGUGUUUUGCCAGAGGCAGGCGGGUGCUCUUCGCCGAGUGUCCGUUUGUGCUGGCAGGUUUACUUUGAAAAAAUUAGAGUGCUCAAAGCAAGCUCUCACGCUUGAAUAUUCGUGCAUGGAAUAAUAGAAUAGGAUGUCGUUUCUAUUUUGUUGGUUUUCGGAAAUCGACAUAAUGAUUAAUAGGGACAGUCGGGGGCAUUUGUAUUCAAACGACAGAGGUGAAAUUCUUGGACCGUUUGAAGACAAACUACUGCGAAAGCAUUUGCCAAGAAUGUUUUCAUUAAUCAAGAACGAAAGUUAGAGGUUCGAAGGCGAUUAGAUACCGCCCUAGUUCUAACCAUAAACGAUGCCAGCUAGCGAUCUGCAGGCGUUUUACUUUACGACCUUGCAGGGAGCUUCCGGGAAACCAAAGCUUGUGGGUUCCAGGGGAAGUAUGGUUGCAAAGCUGAAACUUAAAGGAAUUGACGAAAGGGCACCACCAGAAGUGGAGCCUGCGGCUUAAUUCGACUCAAC